rnacentral:lncRNA from 1 species
AUCAGAGGUUUAGGCCCGGACCAUCAAUAGGGUUUUAGGCCCGGACAUCCAUCAGGGUUUAGGGCCCCGGACAUCCAAUCAGGGUUUAGGCCAGGACAUCCAAUCAGGGUUUGGCCCCGGCCAGCCAAUCAGGGUUUAGGCCCGGACACCAACAGGUAGGCCGGACAUCCAAUCAGGGUUUAGGCCCGGACAUCCAAUCAGGGUUUCUCCGACGUCCAAUCAGGGUUUAAGGGGUAAUAGGUUAGGCUCCCCGGUCCAAUCAGGGUUUAGGCCCGGACAUCCAAUCAGGGUUUAGGCCCGGACAUCCAAUCAGGGUUUAGGCUUGGGACAGCCAAUAUGGGUUUUUUAGUGUAUUGUGUAUUUAUUGUGUGUAUUGAAUGUGUAGGUAGGAUAUUGUUGUUAUAUGAAGUGUAGGUAUUGUGUAUAUGAAUGUGUAGGUUAUUGUGUAUAUGAAUGUGUAGGUUAUUGUGUAGGUUAUUGUGUAUAUGAAUGUGUAGGUUAUUGUGUGAUAUAUGAAGUUGUGUAGGGUUAUUGUGUUAUGAAAGUGUAUGUUU